GGCCUAACACAUGACAAGUCGAGCGCCUACCCGUUCGGGGCGAGCGGCGGACGGGUUAGUAACGCGUGGGAACCGUUACCCUUUUCUAUGGAAUAGCCGUACGGGAAACUGAGAGUUAAUACCAUAUAACGUCCCGUUCGGGGGAAAGAUUUUAUACGGGGAAAGGAUCGGCCCGCGUUAGAUUAGAUAGUUGGUGGGGUAAUGGCCUACCAAGUCUACGAUCUAUAGCUGGUUUUAGAGGAUGAUCAGCAACACUGGGACUGAGACACGGCCCAGACUCCUACGGGAGGCAGCAGUGGGGAAUCUUAGACAAUGGGCGCAAGCCUGAUCUAGCCAUGCCGCGUGUGUGAUGAAGGUCUUAGGAUCGUAAAGCACUUUCGCCAGGGAUGAUAAUGACAGUACCUGGUAAAGAAACCCCGGCUAACUCCGUG
rnacentral:rRNA from 1 species